UAAGCAUUAAGAGAGAAACAUUAACAACUUGUCUAUUACUUACUAUGUGUUGUAUCAUUUUCUAGGUGUUGAGAUUAUAUGAAUGGAGAAAACUGGAAAGGUAUGUGUCAUAAUGAAGCUUAUAUUUUAGUGGCUGAAGACAAGCAAUGAAAGCAUCAGCAGAGUAGUUUAAAUGGAAAUAAGAAGUACUGGCCUUUUAAUAAUUGUGACUUCUAGCACACACCAGCAAGGAACUCUGUCACCAUCCAAAGCCUGGAUUUCACAACUGCAUUCAUGCGAAGUGUCCUGCAUCUUCGAUGAAUUCAAGCUCUUGGAAGCUGUUACAGAGAAGAAGGAGAGAGAGGAAAGGAGGAUGCCCAGUCCAUUUAUAAUCAGGACAACACACUUGCCUGUGCCUUGCCUUGAAUUACUCUCUGGACUUUCCCAGACUGGGUGA
rnacentral:lncRNA from 1 species